GGCUGUGUGGUGUAAUGGUUUGAAUGCUAGACUAUGAUUCUAGAGACCAGGGUUUGAUUCCCAGUUUGGCCA